GUCAUUCCUUUUCUUCCUUAUUCCACCACAAACAUGUUAAAAUCUCUCUCUGGAUACAUUUUGCUCCUCCUCGUCACACACAUCUUGGUGAUUCCUCGCAUCCUCGCAAGGAGAUCAAGAAUUAAUUCUUGAAGUUUAAGAAAGCCUUCAGUCCUACCCAAAGCAGUAAGUCAUCUUUGCAUUUGAUAUUUAUUUGUGAAGGAGAUACAAAUAGAAUGAUGCAAGGGAGAGAAGGGGAAUGUGGAGAGAAGAGUAGAAGAUUCUCUCAAGAUGAAGGGAAGAAGAGACAGUAUUCAGAUAAGUACCCAGGUCAGUUCCUUCAUAAACUCUUUACCCCUUUCAACCAAAAUGGUCAAUGAA